rnacentral:lncRNA from 10 species
GUGAUUUACUGGGAAGUGUUUCUAGGAGAAACUGUUAAGGGUGUGAGGGAGGUAGGACAGAGCAAGGCAGAAGCCAAGUAAGGGGCUAGUUUCAGGCAAAGUCCUGGGGAGGGUGUAGUGAAUUCCUGCAGCGGCAUUGCUGAGUAGAAGAUGCAUCUCAGAAUUGUCUUGACCUGAGGGGAGGAGAUGGGCUUCCAUAUUUCCCUGCCAGUCCUGCGCUAGAGGAGGAAGGUAGGGAGGUACAGAGGUAAACUUCUAGGUGCUUCUGGCUCCCUGCUAUUGCAGCCCAAGCUGUGCCAGGACUCAAGAGCACCUAGUGGAAGACAGUCCUGCAUAGAGAACUUUGGAGUUAUAUGGCAAGUAUGUAGAGAAACCAGGACCGAGGCUCUAUUUUGUUUAACUCCAAAGCCCAUGUUAUUUCCCUUGGUUUUCGCUGUUUCUGAAUCACAAGAAAAUUACCUGCAGCCACUAGAUACAUGCCUUCAAAGAGCCAGAAACUUUGACAAGUGUUCUUAGUUGAAGGUUAAUGCAUUCAAGGCUGACUGGGAAUUGCUCACAGAUAAAAGAAUGGCCCUGUCUGAGAGAUAUGUUACCCUAAACACCAAGACUCAAUAUAUAUGACUUAAGAAAAAAAAGAUCCUUAUGCACUAUCUGAAGGUGAUGCUUCCUGACUUUUGCAACAGGUAGGACAUCUUUCUCCUCUGUGCUCCUUCCUUUUCCUCAUGAGAGAAGAAUGGACUAACCUCAUUGAUUGAGAUUGUCAUGACAAUGUGUCUCCUCCCCUUUCCUUUCUGAUUCUGGGUUGAACCCCAAGGAAACAUGAUGAACCAGGUUGCAUGACUGUGAAGGCAGGAUAAAAGAAAAGCAGAAGAACCACAUUAAUCAUGGCAGACAUUGAUGAAGAAGGACAAUGAGGUUUUUCUGGUGGGUUUCUGGAGAAAUCAACUGUCAACAUUCUGCAAAACAAUCACUGACUCAAAAAACUCAAGAAGGGAGUAAAGAUAAUUAAUAAAGUAAGUUAAGUUGUAUUAUACCCACAAAUACAAACCAGUGGAAUCAUUUCUGGGUAACAUAUUGAGCUAAUAAAGUAGUAAAAAGGUGUCAAUGAUUUUAGGUAAAAGAUAUUGCCACCCCACUCUUCUUAUGUGGCGAUGCCUAAAGAAGAGAUCGCGCUGGCUGCAAUAAUGCCCCAAUGGUCAAGAUAUGCCAGUUAUUCAAAUUGGAAAAUCCAGGUAUAUUCAUGGAACUUACCAAUCUUUGGUUACUAGUAGGAAGUCUGCACAAGCAGCAACUACCACAGUUGUUCUAAAAACAGGGUGACAAAAGGCCACUCUUUCAGGCUAUGAAGACAUUUUGGCUUUUGUUUUCACAAUUAGAGACUCAGCAGCUUUCUGGACAGAAACUGCUGGAGUCCAGGCUAUGGCAUACUUGUUUCAUCUGCCCUCUCC